AUGGCGAGGAGUGGCUGCGGAAGAAACUUUAAAUUGCACUGUCUUGGUUUGGCUUCCCACGAUCACAGUAUCACCCGGCUGCGGUCCCGUGUUAUUCAUCUUCAUGAUGGCGAUGCUAAUACCUCUUUCUUCCACCAACAUUCCAGAUAUUGUAAGAAGAAUAAUUUUAUAGCCAAGUUGAAGGUUGGUGAUCAGGUCGUUACAAACCAAGGGGAUAAACAUGAGGCUGUGCUGAAUUACUAUGAAAAACCUUAUUGGUUCGUCUCAGGUUCGGGAUUUUUCCUUGGACCUCUCAGUUUUUCACUUCCAGCAGCAUGA
rnacentral:rRNA from 1 species